UUGGCAGAGCCCUCUCCAAUAUGAAGCUGUUCAUGAUUGGCACGCUGAUAGCGCUGGUAACCGUCGUACACAUAUACGGGGGUGCUACACAGGGAGCCGCAGUCGAGGAACCUAUGUUGGAAGAAAGAACUUUGGCUAACCUCACUCACCCCCUAAGAAGAAGAAGACGAAGCGACCCAUGCGGAAAUGUGGCGUGCUGGAAUCACAACCAGUGUGGUCCAAACUGUAUAUGCGUUCUGUCCAAGGACUUUCCCCGUACGCCCACGUGCCAGACGCCAAAGAAGAAAUAAAUGUUAGC